AUUGAACGCUGGCGGCAGGCCUAACACAUGCAAGUCGAGCGGAUGAAGGGAGCUUGCUCCUGGAUUCAGCGGCGGACGGGUGAGUAAUGCCUAGGAAUCUGCCUGGUAGUGGGGGAUAACGUCCGGAAACGGGCGCUAAUACCGCAUACGUCCUGAGGGAGAAAGUGGGGGAUCUUCGGACCUCACGCUAUCAGAUGAGCCUAGGUCGGACUAGCUAGUUGGUGGGGUAAAGGCCUACCAAGGCGACGAUCCGUAACUGGUCUGAGAGGAUGAUCAGUCACACUGGAACUGAGACACGGUCCAGACUCCUACGGGAGGCAGCAGUGGGGAAUAUUGGACAAUGGGCGAAAGCCUGAUCCAGCCAUGCCGCGUGUGUGAAGAAGGUCUUCGGAUUGUAAAGCACUUUAAGUUGGGGGGAAGGGCAGUAAGUUAAUACCUUGCUGUUUUGACGUUACCAACAGAAUAAGCACCGGCUAACUUCGUG
rnacentral:rRNA from 1 species